GGGGUCUCUGAACCCUAGAGAAGGGCUUCUCCUUCGGGAGCAGAGUGACAGGUGGUGCAUGGUUGUCGUCAGCUCGUGUCGUGAGAUGUUGGGUUAAGUCCCGCAACGAGCGCAACCCUUGAUCUUAGUUGCCAUCAUUAAGUUGGGCACUCUAAGGUGACUGCCGGUGACAAACCGGAGGAAGGUGGGGAUGACGUCAAAUCAUCAUGCCCCUUAUGACCUGGGCUACACACGUGCUACAAUGGACGGUACAAAGAGCUGCAAGACCGCGAGGUGGAGCUAAUCUCAUAAAACCGUUCUCAGUUCGGAUUGUAGGCUGCAACUCGCCUACAUGAAGCUGGAAUCGCUAGUAAUCGCGGAUCAGCAUGCCGCGGUGAAUACGUUCCCGGGUCUUGUACCACACGCCAA
rnacentral:rRNA from 1 species